AGGCAGCAGUGGGGGAAUAUUGCACAAUGGGCGCAAGCCUGAUGCAGCCAUGCCGCGUGUAUGAAGAAGGCCUUCGGGUUGUAAAGUACUUUCAGCAGUGAGGAAGGCGGAGUCGUUAAUAGCGGCCUCGUUUGACGUUAGCUGCAGAAGAAGCACCGGCUAACUCCGUGCCAGCAGCCGCGGUAAUACGGAGGGUGCGAGCGUUAAUCGGAAUUACUGGGCGUAAAGCGCAUGCAGGUGGUUCGUUAAGUCAGAUGUGAAAGCCCGGGGCUCAACCUCGGAAUUGCAUUUGAAACUGGCAGACUAGAGUACUGUAGAGGGGGUAGAAUUUCAGGUGUAGCGGUGAAAUGCGUAGAGAUCUGAAGGAAUACCGGUGGCGAAGGCGGCCCCCUGGACAGAUACUGACACUCAGAUGCGAAAGCGUGGGGAGCAAACAGGAUUAGAUACCCUGGUAG
rnacentral:rRNA from 1 species